AGGGUUCGAUCAUGGCUCAGGAUGAACGCUAGCGGCAGGCUUAACACAUGCAAGUCGAGGGGUAACAGAAAGUGCUUGCACUUUGCUGACGACCGGCGCACGGGUGCGUAACGCGUAUGCAACCUACCUUCUACAGGGGGAUAGUCAAUAGAAAUGUUGAAUAAUACCCCAUACGAUCUUCAAGAGGCAUUACUUGAAGAAGAAAGCUCCGGCGGUAGAAGAUGGGCAUGCGUCCUAUUAGUUGGUUGGUGAGGUAACGGCUCACCAAGACUACGAUAGGUAGGGGCCCUGAGAGGGGGAUCCCCCACACUGGUACUGAGACACGGACCAGACUCCUACGGGAGGCAGCAGUGAGGAAUAUUGGACAAUGGAGGCAACUCUGAUCCAGCCAUGCCGCGUGCAGGAAGACUGCCCUAUGGGUUGUGAACUGCUUUUAUACAGGAAGAAACCUACUUACGUGUAAGUAGCUGACGGUACUGUAAGAAUAAGGAUCGGCUAACUCCGUGCCAGCAGCCGCGGUAAUUC
rnacentral:rRNA from 1 species